GACGAACGCUGGCGGCGUGCUUAACACAUGCAAGUCGAGCGGAAAGGCCUUUCGGGGUACUCGAGCGGCGAACGGGUGAGUAACACGUGAGUAACCUGCCCUGGACUUUGGGAUAACCCUCGGAAACGGGGGCGUAAUACCGGAUAUGACCUGGUGCCGCAUGGUGGUGGGGUGGAAAGUUUUUCGGUUUGGGAGUGGACUCGCGGCCUAUCAGCUUG
rnacentral:rRNA from 1 species